GAUGAAGAACGUAGUGAAAUGCGAUAAGUAAUGUGAAUUGCAGAAUUCAGUGAAUCAUCGAAUCUUUGAACGCACCUUGCGCUCCUUGGUAUUCCGAGGAGCAUGCCUGUUUGAGUGCCAUGAAAUUCUCAACCUUUUCAGCUUUCUUUGUUGAUCAGGCUUGGAUGUGGGAGUAUGCGGGCUUCUCAGAAGUCGGCUCUCCUGAAAUGCAUUAGCGGGACCUUUGUUGCCUGGCUUUGGUGUGAUAAUUAUCUACGCCAUUGUAGUCAAGCAGCUUAAAAUGAGGUUUCAGCUUCUAACCGUCUCCCCUGAGACAACUUUUUGACAAUUUGACCUCAAAUCAGGUAGGACUACCCGCUGAACUUAAGCAUAUCAAUAAGCGGAGA
rnacentral:misc_RNA from 1 species